rnacentral:rRNA from 1 species
UACGAAGGGGGCUAGCGUUGCUCGGAAUUACUGGGCGUAAAGGGCGCGUAGGCGGACAGUUUAGUCAGAGGUGAAAGCCCAGGGCUCAACCUUGGAAUUGCCUUUGGUACUGGCUGUCUUGAGUUCGGGAGAGGUGAGUGGAAUGCCGAGUGUAGAGGUGAAAUUCGUAGAUAUUCGGCGGAACACCAGUGGCGAAGGCGACUCACUGGCCCGAUACUGACGCUGAGGCGCGAAAGCGUGGGGAGCAAACAGGG